rnacentral:rRNA from 1 species
GACGAACGCUGGCGGCGUGCCUAAUACAUGCAAGUAGAACGCUGAAGGAGGAGCUUGCUUCUCUGGAUGAGUUGCGAACGGGUGAGUAACGCGUAGGUAACCUGCCUGGUAGCGGGGGAUAACUAUUGGAAACGAUAGCUAAUACCGCAUAAUAGUAGAUGUUGCAUGACAUUUGCUUAAAAGGUGCAAUUGCAUCACUACCAGAUGGACCUGCGUUGUAUUAGCUAGUUGGUGGGGUAACGGCUCACCAAGGCGACGAUACAUAGCCGACCUGAGAGGGGGAUCGGCCACACUGGGACUGAGACACGGCCCAGACUCCUACGGGAGGCAGCAGUGGGGAAUCUUCGGCAAUGGACGGAAGUCUGACCGAGCAACGCCGCGUGAGUGAAGAAGGUUUUCGGAUCGUAAAGCUCUGUUGUAAGAGAAGAACGAGUGUGAGAGUGGAAAGUUCACACUGUGACGGUAUCUUACCAGAAAGGGACGGCUAACUACGUG